AUACUUACAAUCUAACUUCUGA
rnacentral:miRNA from 1 species